UAACCAACUAUUAUUGCAUGAGGCUCACAAUCUAGUUUAUUUAAACUUAUAAGGACCCUAGCCAACUUGCCUCCAGAAUGGUCCCCCGAUUUGGGCUUCGUUGGUUGUUGGAUCUGUCUUCUGGCACGCCUGAGCAGUUGGAUCUUCACAGCAAUCAAAACUGAUUUUCACUUCCCAGUCAUUUUCGUUGUCCGAUGACGGGUGGGCUCGCGACACGCGCUGGUUGGCUGGGUUGCCCAUUUUCGCGUGUAGGUCCACUUUGCCCAAUCUGCUCCAUACGCUCCUCCCUCCCGAUCCCCAUCCUCUCGUCCACAACCCUAGCCCCUUCCCCUCGAUCCUCAUGGCCCAUCCCUCCUCCUUGCUCGUCACUGCCGCUACCUGCUGCUCCCUCUCCACCAUCGUGCCUGCUUAUUGAUCACAAUAUCCCCUCUACCUGAUUGAGAUCGGGCGUAGGUUAGGCGAGCCCGAUGGUGGGUUGGGUGAGGCUAUAGGGAGAGGGAGGAGGCCGGCGGCGUGGUGAAGGAGUUGACUUGCCCUCGUGGAGGCGGCGCCAUCGGCCAGGGACGGCAUUUGCUCGUCGGACGACGUCCGAGCUCGUCUCACCCUCACAGCGACGACCAACAACUCAAGUAGGAAGGGUGAGGGGCCAUCAAGAUCUAGCCCAGGGCAUGCUCCCUGGCGCCCGCACAUAGAGGACUGGCCGCUGGUCGCCGGUUGGUCCUCCUGUUCUCUCCUCGUGCCACCGUCCUGCACCUCCUCCAUCCCUCGAUUCAGCAAAGGCGAUGGAGAUCAAGAACCGGGGCGGCACACAUUGUCCUCCUAUUUCUCCUACCACCAACCCUAGAGAUGGCAGCGGCAAGGAGUUGAGCCAGGUGUCUCGAUGAGGUGGUCCAUGCUGAGGAAGAGGGCGUCCAUAUGUUCCUGUUCAUGGCCUUGUUGUGGUUGCACCAUGGUCCGUAGGGAACAAGAACACCACUACUACAACCCAAGUCUGGACAUGACAUCUCUAUGUGACUGCAUAUUUAAUUUGUACAUCUAUUUGGUUGCACACUACAUAUUUGGUCUUUUUUACAUUUAUUUUUGACUUCAUUUGCGGCUAGCUGACUGCAGCAUGCUUUACUGACUCAUCUAUGGACACACAAGUCAAGGAAAACCAUAUGAGUCUAUUUCGACUGCUUGCCACGGGAAAGUGCCCACUAGAUUCAUAUUUGCUUGAACCAUGAUCAUACCAUUAAAAUGUGUAACUAUGUAUGGAUCAACAAAGUUUACAUUUCGUGCAUUAAGCUGGUUAGGCCCCUUUCAGUGUUGUUCGACCAAUUAGACACUUGUUAUCCUAUCUAAAAUGGUAGUUCAGCUUUCAAUAAUUAGAUUAUAAAUUGGUGUAUGUUUAUUAUGCCUUGUCGUUUCUUUCCCCUUAUUCUUAACGAUUGAUUACCUUUGUUCCUAGAUCCUGUAGGCUGUAGCUGGCCUUCCUUUUGCUAGGAUUUUUUUCUUCCAAAUUUGAUAAUGUAACCUGCUAAAGCAUGAUCAACAGAUUUGUCUAACCAAUUAACAUCUCUCAUUAAUUGUGAGAACCAAGCCAAUGAAAAUGGGCAUGAAUCGGUCUUGUCAAAGUCUACUAUUCAGUGCUUGCAUAUGUUAGAUUGCUGAUGUUCACAAAACUGCAUGUACCUUUUGCCAACAAAAUUGUUGAUGAAUUGCAGAUUUAGAAAAUUAGUUUGGCAUAGCUCAAAACUAUUUUCCUUGACUCAAAUCAAGGUUGUUCGAUAUCAUGAAAUAAGCAACAUGCCUCUUGCGAAACCAUAUUUUAAAUUUGCAAUUUGGAAACUGGGUUUUUGUUUCUCGCGCCUUUUCUUUUAAAACAUCACCAGAACUUAGGGUCACAAUUAAUAGUAAGGUGCAAUCUCAGUCAUUUAGUGACAUACUUCAGUUCAGACUUUGCAGAGCCAGAGUUGUUUAUUAAUACUUUCCGUUACAUUGCCCGCAUCUGUAUACAUAAGUUCUUAUGUUUUUAGAACACUCUAGCUAGGCUUAACUAUUUCUGUUGACAAAUCACAUUCUUAUCUUAAAAUACAUCGAUGAUUACUGGAGUUCCAGAGAAACAUUCUUUUUAUUGUUUCCAGAGAUCAAGAUAUCGCGAACCAUUCAUGGGAUUCAAAGGGAUGUGCAACAUAUGUGGUGCCUUAUUCAAGCUAAGCCGGGUUAUUGAAGUAAUUGUUCUUCGGAUAUUUCUUUAAUUUUUCGUAAUAUGAUGUCGAGAUAACCACGGUGACUCCUCUAUAGUGUUUGGUUUUCGUAGAAAUCUUUUCAUUUUGCCAAUUUCAUUUAUCGCUCAUUUUUUGGGAGUACUCAGCUGAUUUGUAUGACACCCUUAAUAAAGUUUUUUUAAGACCUACAUUCAGUUAGUCAUCCAUUGGCACUUUAGUCUUGUGAAGUGCCUAUGUUAUUAGUCAAAAUCUCAUUCCCUCGCAAUACCACAUUAGAAUCGGUUCAAAGCUUGGUUUAGUCUUGAAUGUAACGUAUGUUUUUUUAUCUUUAUAAUAUUUAUUAUGUUGCUAAUUUGUAGUGCUUCAGUUUCGUCAGUCGUCACAUGAACAUGAUGAACGUGAAUAGACAACGAAAGAACGAAAGAAGGAGAUAAAGUUCCUUGCGUCGAUGCAUGCACCCAUUCGGCCAGCCGUAUUGUCAUUCUUCUCCAAAGAUCUUAUCCAUAUAUUGGUCAGAAAAUAAGUGGAAAAGAUAGAAAGACAGAGCCUUGGUUAGGUUUUUGUUGGCAAAUAAUCUGGAAGUAGCAGUUAUGGCCAACAUGAUUUAUUAUCAUAUACUCCCUCCAUAAACAAAUAUAAGAGCGUUUAGAUCACUAAAGUAGUGAUCUAAAUGCUCUUAUAUUUAUUUACAGAGGAAGUACUUUAUAAUGCAGAGGAAGGUCGGGUUCUGGAAAUCGGAGUCAAUGGUGGAUCAGAGAGGUGUUUGUGCAUCAUGCUUCUGUUUGGAAAAACUAUGAUCAUUGUUUCGUUAGGUGUCCUCUUCUUAGUUCAUCCUGCAGCUAGAAUAAAAUGCUUUGGUUUUCCUUUGUGCUCGGUGUUGGUAGUUAGCAGAGUCCUGGAAAUAUAGACGCUCCAACAAAAUCCACUAAAAAUGAUAGGGUACAUAAGUAACUUGCCUUAUCUAGCUCAUGCUUCGAGGAGCAGUUUGAAACUUCUGUUUCUGGUUUUUUGGGGAGAUAUUCUAGCUGGUAUUUAUUCUGGUCAUUCUUGCAUCAAUUUCAUUAAAAUCACUUUGAUUUCUUCUAUCAUGAAUGCAAAUAUGCAUUUCCUCUAUAAAGAGCCUGCUACAGACUAGCUUUGAUCUAAUUGAUCGAUAAUGACUCUGUUAUUAGAGAAUUCCUUUUCGAUGGGAAGAGAAUGUUGUUUUAUUUUGUAUUUAGUUAUUAUAUUGGUGAUCAUAGAAUACAUAUGUUACAAUAUCCCUUUUUGCAUCGUCGAAUCCCAUUCAGCAUGAAAAAGUAUUUUUUGUCAAAUAAAUGAUUUGCAUCAUGCGACCAUGUUCCUUUUUUAUGCAGUUUGCCAAUAGCCUAUGGUUGAGUACUCCCUAUGGUGUUAAUCUUCUAAUUCAUUCACCAGAUUAUUUUUUGCGCCUUCUGGUUGCAUAUCCACUUUAAUAAUAAACUUAUAGUAGUACUAUGUGUUGUUUGUUAUCUACCUCGAUGUCGUACUGAUUUCUAUUUUUUCACAAUUGCAGGCGCCAUAUUAGUGUUUCUUAUUAUCUACCUUGAUGCCAUACUAAUUUCUGUGAUUCCAAAAUUGCUGGCACCACUUCCUAUUGCCUGUUGGUGCAAGGACCCACGCCUUCGAUAUGAGAAAUGUAAAGGAUGGAUCAAUUGGCAUUGCCAGGUCAUGUUUAGUUCUUUGUCUCUCAAACGACAUGCAUCUCUCAACACAAUACUAGGUUAAUGAACUGCUAAAGCUACAAUGUAGAUGCAUUGUGACUUUAUUUUCUAGGUACUAACUUCAGAUGUCCAAUUUGUUACCUGUACCAAUGUAUCCUCAGGAUAUUGACUUUACAUAAACAAUCUGCUGCAUACUAAUGUAUAUUUUUACACAAGCUA